CCCUUAGAUGUUCUGGGCAGCACGCGCGCUACAAUGGUCUUCGCAAACGGAUGCAUUCUCGAAGGAGAAUGCCAAUCUUGGAAUCUAUGCCUUGGUCGGGACAGUUGCUUGCAAUUUUUCGACUCGAACCAGGAAUUCCUUGUAAUCGUGAUUCAUCACAUCACGAUGAAUACGUCCCUGCCCUUUGUACACACCGCCCGUCGCUCCUACCGAUCGAAGAGUUAGGUGAAUUGUUUUGAUCGAUAAGAUUUGACUAUGGUCAACUGUCGUUGUGAAAUUCUGUGAAUCUGACUGUUUAGAGGAAGGAAAAGUCGUAACA
rnacentral:rRNA from 1 species